rnacentral:rRNA from 1 species
UGGGGAAUAUUGCGCAAUGGGCGCAAGCCUGACCGAGCGACGCCGCGUGCGGGAUGAAGGCCUUCGGGUUGUAAACCGCUUUGGUCCGAAAGAAAGGGUAAAACUUGAUCGAUCGGAGAAACAAGGACGGGCUAAGUUCGUGCCAGCAGCCGCGGUAAGACGAACCGUCCAAACGUUAUUCGGAAUCACUGGGCUUAAAGGGCGCGUAGGCGGCCGAGCGGGUCGUGGGUGAAAUCCUCCAGCUUAACUGGAGAACUGCUUACGAUACCACUGCGGCUCGAGGAAGGAAGGGGUCAUGGGAACUGUCGGUGGAGCGGUGAAAUGCGUUGAUAUCGACAGGAACGCCUGUGGCGAAAGCGCAUGACUGGUCCUUUUCUGACGCUGAGGCGCGAAAGCCAGGGGAGCAAACGGGAUUAGAUACCCCCGUAGUCCCUGAGCGGGCUGGCAAGGCGCAU